GAAACCCAGUGUGAUUCGUCACACUAUCAUUAACUGAAUCCAUAGGUUAAUGAGGCGAACCGGGGGAACUGAAACAUCUAAGUACCCCGAGGAAAAGAAAUCAACCGAGAUUCCCCCAGUAGCGGCGAGCGAACGGGGAGGAGCCCAGAGCCUGAAUCAGCAUGUGUGUUAGUGGAAGCGUCUGGAAAGGCGCGCGAUACAGGGUGACAGCCCCGUACACAAAAGCGCAUGUGCUGUGAGCUCGAUGAGUAGGGCGGGACACGUGGUAUCCUGUCUGAAUAUGGGGGGACCAUCCUCCAAGGCUAAAUACUCCUGACUGACCGAUAGUGAACCAGUACCGUGAGGGAAAGGCGAAAAGAACCCCGGCGAGGGGAGUGAAAAAGAACCUGAAACCGUGUACGUACAAGCAGUGGGAGCACAGGUUUACCUGUGUGACUGCGUACCUUUUGUAUAAUGGGUCAGCGACUUAUAUUCUGUAGCAAGGUUAACCGUAUAGGGGAGCCGUAGGGAAACCGAGUCUUAAUUGGGCGUUAAGUUGCAGGGUAUAGACCCGAAACCCGGUGAUCUAGCCAUGGGCAGGUUGAAGGUUGGGUAACACUAACUGGAGGACCGAACCGACUAAUGUUGAAAAAUUAGCGGAUGACCUGUGGCUGGGGGUGAAAGGCCAAUCAAACCGGGAGAUAGCUGGUUCUCCCCGAAAGCUAUUUAGGUAGCGCCUCGUGAACUCAUCUCCGGGGGUAGAGCACUGUUUCGGCUAGGGGGCCAUCCCGGCUUACCAACCCGAUGCAAACUGCGAAUACCGGAGAAUGUUAUCACGGGAGACACACGGCGGGUGCUAACGUCCGUCGUGAAGAGGGAAACAACCCAGACCGCCAGCUAAGGUCCCAAAGUCAUGGUUAAGUGGGAAACGAUGUGGGAAGGCCCAGACAGCCAGGAUGUUGGCUUAGAAGCAGCCAUCAUUUAAAGAAAGCGUAAUAGCUCACUGGUCGAGUCGGCCUGCGCGGAAGAUGUAACGGGGCUAAACCAUGCACCGAAGCUGCGGCAGCGACGUUUAUGCGUUGUUGGGUAGGGGAGCGUUCUGUAAGCCUGCGAAGGUGGCCUGUGAGGGUUGCUGGAGGUAUCAGAAGUGCGAAUGCUGACAUAAGUAACGAUAAAGCGGGUGAAAAGCCCGCUCGCCGGAAGACCAAGGGUUCCUGUCCAACGUUAAUCGGGGCAGGGUGAGUCGACCCCUAAGGCGAGGCCGAAAGGCGUAGUCGAUGGGAAACGGGUUAAUAUUCCCGUACUUGGUGUUACUGCGAAGGGGGGACGGAGAAGGCUAUGUUGGCCGGGCGACGGUUGUCCCGGUUUAAGCGUGUAGGCUGGUUUUCCAGGCAAAUCCGGAAAAUCAAGGCUGAGGCGUGA
rnacentral:rRNA from 1 species